CGAAGAGGGAGAGGCCGUGCCUGCCCGCGGGAGCACAGCAGUCUCCAGUUGGAGGUGGCCAUGGAGAUGGGCGGCUGUCGUCCUAGAGGGUGGCACGCGUGGAGAGGAGGCUGUGCUGGAGAGAGAGGCCAAGACAAACAGGCGCUGACUGUUGGCAGACUAGUAAUAUUUGCUAUUCCACCCGGCAGCCAUUCUGAACCAGAGGGUGGAGGACAGAAUGAAAAGAAGCUUGGAUCCCUGAGGACUGUGGGCUGCCAUACAUAGGAGAGAGAAACAGUUCUGGGUGUACUCUGAUGCCUUCACAAAAAUGUUCCUAUAAAAGGGUUUCAUCUUCAAGGAAU